rnacentral:rRNA from 1 species
CGAAGGUCGGACUAAUACCGUAUAAUAUCCUAUGCAGGCAUCUAACUAGGAUUAAAGGUUUAGCGGUAAGGGGAUGGGGGAUGCGUCUGAUUAGGCAGUUGGCGGGGUAACGGCCCACCAAACCGACGAUCAGUAGGGGUUCUGAGAGGAAGGUCCCCCACAUUGGAACUGAGACACGGUCCAAACUCCUACGGGAGGCAGCAGUC